AUCGAACGCUGGCGGCAGGCCUAACACAUGCAAGUCGAGCGUGCGGCGGACGGGUGAGACAUGUCUGGGAAACUCCCUGCUGGAGGGGGUUAACCUCUGGAAACGGUUGUUAAUACGGCAAACCAUCAGAUGUGCCCAGCUGGGAUUAGCUAGUAGGUGGGGUAACGGCCCACCUAGGCGACGAUGCCUAGCUGGUCUGAGAGGAUGACCCGCCACAGUGGAACUGAGACACGGUCCAGACUCCUACGGGAGGCAGCAGUGGGGAAUAUUGCGCAAUGGGCGCAAGCCUGACGCAGCCAUGCCGCGUGAGUGAAGAAGGCCUUCGGGUUGUAAAGCACUUUCGGCGGGGAGGCGUUACCCACAGAAGAAGCACCGGCUAACUCCGUGCCAGCAGCCGCGGUAAUAC
rnacentral:rRNA from 1 species